UACGUAGGGGGCAAGCGUUGUCCGGAUUUAUUGGGCGUAAAGAGCGUGUAGGCGGCUAGGUAGGUCCGUUGUGAAAACUCGAGGCUCAACCUCGAGACGCCGAUGGAAACCAUCUGGCUAGAGUCCGGAAGAGGAGAGUGGAAUUCCUGGUGUAGCGGUGAAAUGCGUAGAUAUCAGGAGGAAUACCGGUGGUGUAGACGGCUCUCUGGACCGCCACUGACGCUGAGACGCGAAAGCGUGGGUAGCAAACAGG
rnacentral:rRNA from 1 species